CUCUUGUGUUUUCAAAAUAGAUAGGAAUACAAACUAAAAUACUGAAUAGAUCAUGUCUUUGUUCAACCAGUCUUGUUAUUGCGACGAUAGUUUGCGCACUUUAACUUGUUUGGAAUUCAGUCAAUCUGGUGAAUUAGUUAUUGUCUUGCAAUUUGGUUUGAUCACAACAGUUUGUGAUUUUCAUAAAUAAGAAAUAUGGUAAUU
rnacentral:lncRNA from 1 species